UUUGUCUGCUAGGAAAUCCCUUCAGCAGUAAAACGGCUCUCUGAGAAACCACACUUUUUUACACUACAAGUGAUUUUUUCCUCAUAAGAAUGAUUUACUCUAGCUCCUUUAAAGCCUAGCCUUGGGUCCUGUGGAGAGCAGCUCUUCUCUACCAGCUCCUGGGGACCUCAUUCUUUCCAGCACUUUCAAGAGGAAGUGAGAGCAACCCCCAGCCAGGAAACCACCCAGCAUAAGUGUAUGAUCUGAUGGCUCACGUCCUACAGGCCCAGGGGGAAAAACAGAUCACCUUUUCUAAAGGGAAAGAUACUGCAGUUCCACCCAGCAGCAGGAAAUAUCGAUUGCUUCAUAAAACAGAGCUCAGGAAGGAUUCAGGCCCUGGCACUGCCUGCAUGUUUCUGAAGCAGAUCCCUCGCCCCGCUGCCCUCAGUUUCCGUCUGUGAAAUUCCAUCAAUAAUUCUUGAACCUUUAUCAUAUCAAAAACAUGUUAUACUGGUAUUAUGUAAGAAUUAGAUAAUAAAAUUAUAGAGCUGGAAAAGAUCUUAGAGAUCACCUAGUCCAGUGUCUUUGUUUGGAAGACUGAAAAACACAGGCCAAAAGAAGGAAGUGACAUGCAGUGUUAUGAAAUUAGUUCAUAGACUUUAAACACACGAUGCUGAACAACAGCUUGCUAAUCAGCUUUGUCACUAACGUGCCUUUUCCUAGUUUAUCCUAUGCUUGAUAAUAAGCCUUAUUGGCCAGGAAAGCAACUUUCUUUCUCCAAGGAAGGAAUUCCCCUCACCCAAGGACUAUGUUUUCAGAAGUGUUUCCCUUUACUAAGAAUCCAAUGGUCUUGUAAUAGAACCUGAGUCACCCAAUGCCACGUGCCUCUCGUAGGGACACAGGAUGAAAUUCAACAGGCUGAAGGUCUGGGGUCUGCUCUCAAAUGUGAGUGGGCCUGUCUUUGACUUAAGCCUGGCUGUGCGCGCACAGCCUCAAGAGCUGUGAGCAGUAGAGAUUGUUAGGAAUUUCUUCUUUGAACAGAUCUAGUGUUUCCCAGGUUGGAAUGUAAACCCAUUCAUUUGUCAUUCAUUCACUUACGCACAAGAACUUAAUAAAAGCCCAUUUUUUGCUAAGCCCCUGAGAGCUGAUAAGACUGCUACAAGGAGUAGGACCCAGCAACAAGGAGCCUCAGAAGGAACCAGCAGUGUAAACACUUAUGUGCAGUAGAGCACUGUGGGGACUAGGAUGGAAGGAGGAGAUGGUCAAUUUGCCUGGGUUGGGAUUUAAGGAAUCAGGAAAAUGUCAUAGAGGAGGUGAUACUUGAGCUGAGCUUUGGGAAAUGAAGGUUAUUUUCCAGGUGGAAGUGAGGCAAGUACGUGGCAUUCAGACAGAGAGUGAGCCUGGCGUUUGGGGGGAAAAGAAAGAAAAUUUUGGUCUGCAUCGUAUGAGGAAGCAUCAUACUAAAUUGGAAAGUUAGUAUGAUGUGAAACAUUAUAUGACAAAGGAAGAAGUUUAGAUUUUAUUGUGGCAGCUCAUGGGAACCUUUGAAGAGUUUCAAGCAGGGAAGUAACGUGAUCUAAACUGCAGUUUUGAAAGAUGGCUCCAAUGGCAGUGUAGAAGAUAGAAUGGGGAAGAGGUAGGAAGAAGCAAGACCCAAGGCAAGUAGACAAUACAAAAAUUUAGGUGAGACAAGACAGCUGACUCAGUCUCUUCAAAGAGUCAGUGGAGGGAAUUCCCUGGUGGUCCAGUGGUUAAGACUGCACUUCCACUACAGGGGGUCUGGGUUCAAUCCCUGGUCAAGGAACUAAGA